rnacentral:rRNA from 1 species
CCUACGGGUGGCUGCAGUGGGGAAUAUUGCACAAUGGGCGCAAGCCUGAUGCAGCAACGCCGCGUGCGGGACGACGGCCUUCGGGUUGUAAACCGCUUUCAGCUUCGACGAAGCGCAAGUGACGGUAGAAGCAGAAGAAGGACCGGCCAACUACGUGCCAGCAGCCGCGGUGAUACGUAGGGUCCGAGCGUUGUCCGGAAUUAUUGGGCGUAAAGGGCUUGUAGGCGGUUUGUCGCGUCGGAAGUGAAAACUCAGGGCUUAACCCUGAGCCUGCU